rnacentral:rRNA from 1 species
GAUGAACGCUGGCGGCGUGCCUAAUACAUGCAAGUCGAGCGAACGGACGAGAAGCUUGCUUCUCUGAUGUUAGCGGCGGACGGGUGAGUAACACGUGGAUAACCUACCUAUAAGACUGGGAUAACUUCGGGAAACCGGAGCUAAUACCGGAUAAUAUUUUGAACCGCAUGGUUCAAAAGUAAAAGACGGUCUUGCUGUCACUUAUAGAUGGAUCCGCGCUGCAUUAGCUAGUUGGUAAGGUAACGGCUUACCAAGGCAACGAUGCAUAGCCGACCUGAGAGGGUGAUCGGCCACACUGGAACUGAGACACGGUCCAGACUCCUACGGGAGGCCGCAGUAGGGAAUCUUCCGCAAUGGGCGAAAGCCUGACGGAGCAACGCCGCGUGAGUGAUGAAGGUCUUCGGAUCGUAAAACUCUGUUAUUAGGGAAGAACAUAUGUGUAAGUAACUGUGCACAUCUUGACGGUACCUAAUCAGAAAGCCACGGCUAACUACGUG